AAAGUCGACCACAACUGGAACCAGUGGAGCUUCAGCAGAUCCACAAGGUCUGAGCAGAAAUCUGGCCGUCUCUCUGGGAUUAGCAGCACUUGUCAUUUGUGUUGUGACGGUUAACAUGUGGGCCAGAAUUAAAGAACAACAGAUUCAACGAGAUGGAACCACAACUCGGCGUGAAGAAGACGAGGCUGCAGUGACGUACGAGAACCUGGGAGAGCCGUCUGUUUCUGUCCGACUCCACUGAGCGACAUCGCCAGUCCACUGCUGC